ACGGACGGGCCGUGGAGCCCGUCGGCUAAUGGCGCUGGGGGCCGGCGGCGCCUCCUGGCAGCGGGGCGGAGGGCGGGGGCGCUGAGCGGGGCGUGCGGCGCGGAGAGCGAACAAAGCGCCGGAGCUGCCAGGUGGCGAGGCCGAGGGGCUGCAGGGCUGCCCGCGGCCAUGGGGGUGCAGGACCGGCCUCAGUGCUUCUUCGAGAUAGAGAUCAACCGGGAGCCAGUUGGUCGAAUUAUGUUUCAACUCUUCUCAGACAUAUGUCCGAAGACUUGUAAAAACUUCCUUUGCUUGUGCUCGGGUGAAAAAGGAAUUGGCAAAACAACUGGAAAGAAGCUAUGUUACAAAGGCACUACCUUCCAUCGUGUGGUUAAAAACUUCAUGAUCCAGGGUGGGGACUUCAGCGAAGGUAAUGGAAAAGGAGGUGAAUCUAUUUAUGGUGGCUAUUUCAAAGAUGAAAACUUUAUUCUCAAACAUGACAGAGCGUUCCUUUUGUCAAUGGCAAACCGAGGGAAACAUACCAAUGGUUCCCAAUUUUUCAUAACAACAAAACCUGCUCCUCAUCUCGAUGGUGUACAUGUUGUCUUUGGACUGGUUAUUUCUGGGUUUGAGGUAAUAGAACAAAUAGAAAAUCUGAAAACCGAUACUGCAAGUAGGCCCUAUGCAGAUGUACGAGUUAUUGACUGUGGGGUGCUUGUUACAAAAUCAGCAAAAGAUGCUUUGGAGAAGAAGAAGAAAGUAUGUUCGGAGUCAGAAGCUUCAUCCUCCUCCUCCAGUGCAUCAAGCUCUUCAGAAAGUUCAUCUGAAAGUGAAGCUGAAAGUGAAAGAAGCAGAAGAAGAAAGCGUAAAAGAAGAGCUAAAACCAAACAAUCAAGAAAACGAAGAAAGGAAGAGAGGAAGAAAGAGGAUCCAAAGUGCAGGCGAACCUCAAACCAAAGACGCAGCCUUUCUGACAAGAGUGAUAUAACAGAAAAAGCAAUUGAUGUUAGCAUGAAGAGAGACAAACCAGUGGUACGUCCUGAAGAAAUUCCCCCAGUGCCUGAAAACAGAUUUUUGCUGAGAAGAGAUGUGCCCGUUGUCAAUAUAGAACCUGAACCGAAGCUUCUUGAUACUACACCAGUUCUGGCUGACCCGAAACCAUCAGUCUCUAAAUCUGGACGAAAAAUUAAAGGAAGAGGCACAAUACGAUAUCACACCCCACCUCAAUCACGAUCGUGUUCUGAAUCUGAUGAUGAUGAGAGCAGUGAGACCCCUCCUCACUGGAAGGAGGAAAUGCAGAGAUUACGAACAUACAGACCACCUAGUGGAGAAAAGUGGAGUAAAGGCGAUAAGUUGAGCGACCCAUGUACAAGCAGAUGGGAUGAAAGAAGUGUGUCCCAGAGAUCAAGAUCUUGGUCACGUAAUGGUUAUUCUGAUUUAAGUACUGUGAGAUACUCUAGCCACCACAAAAAGCACAGAAAAGAUAAAAAAAAGAUGAAACAUAAAAAGAAAUCUAAAAAGCAGAAGCAUUUCAAGAAGCACAAGCAAACAAAAAAGAAGAAAACGUCCGCUUCAUCAGAUGUAGAGUCUUCUCAUUCCUUCCUCAGGAGGACAAAAUCAUCUUGUGAUCAUGACAGGAAAUCUCGUUCUUCUUCAUCAUCUUCCAGACAUUCCUCCAGAAGGGACUGGUCUAAAUCUGACAAGGAAGACCAGAGCUCAUCAACUUUAUCAAGCAGAGGGACUCGAUCAUACUACAGGUCCAGAUCUAGGUCUAAAUCAAGAUCUUACUCCCGAAGAAGCUCUAGAUCAAGAUCAGCCUCUAAAUCAUCAUGUUCACGAAGUAGGUCAAGGUCAAGUUCUAACCCUAGGCAUCAAAAGACAGUUUCCAGUUCUCCACGAAAUAUUUCAACGCGAUUAAAUGAGAAUAAGCUUACCAAGACUGCUGAGCCUGUAAGAGCAGCUAUACUCCCAAGUGAUAAAGUUGUCGUACCACCAGUUGUCUCAGAAAACCUCCCUGUUAUACCCUUAAGUGAGAGUCCACCACCUUCAAGGUGGAAACCUGGGCAGAAACCAUGGAAGCCAUCCUAUGAGCGAAUUCAGGAAAUGAAAGCUAAAACGACACAUUUAAUGCCCACACAAACUAAUUACAAUUUAGUAGCUGUUAAAGAGCCUAAUACUACUUCCUCAUAUCAUAAGCGACAAAGGAGUUCAGAUAGCGAUCGAAGUGGUUAUUCCAAAUACCAUAGUGACAGAAGCUCAGACAGUUGUCUGAGAUCAAGAAGCAGGUCUUCUCGAAGUAGGUCAUACUCAAGAUCUUAUACAAGAUCUAGAAGUCCAUCAAGCUCUAGGACAAAAUCUCAUUCUUCUGGCCGGUCACCAUCACUGAGUAAAUACUGCAGUGACAGGUCACGUUAUAGUGAGUCAACGUCUUACUCUUCCCUUACUGACGAUGACAGAAGCAAAAGAAAAUCUGCAUCAAGUGAUCAGAAGGCUCGACCUCUUAAACUGAGGCAAGAAACAAGCUCUGAAAGCACUGUCCCUUAUAAGCGUACAAAAGACUAUGAUGAGUCUUCUCAGGGCUUGAAAGGGAGUGAUAGCUCAUCAUCUUCAGACUUCUCUACUGACAGUGAGCAUUCUGCCAAAAUGAAAGUAGUCCAAGAAAAAGAAGGCCGUUUUCAGUUAGAAAGAGGUACUCAGAAACAGGACAAAAAUAGCUUAAGUUCUGAGCAAGGGGAGAAGGAACCCAAGUGUGAGCAGGAUUCUGAUGAUGCUAAAAAGAAAGCAGCUAAGGAGAAAUCUUCUGAGCAACCUAGGGGUGGUGGAAAAACUAAACAAAAAUCCUAUUCAGGUAGUAAAUGGGACUCUGAAUCAAAUUCUGAAAAAGGAGAGGCAAGGCGUAAUAGGGGAGAUUCCAGACUCUCCUCUAGUAAAGAAGAAGGAGAGGCCACAUCAGGAUCUGAUGCAGAGCUUAGUGUUACCAAAAGAAUAAAAAAACAAUCAAAUUCUUCAGAAGGCUUUCUGGAUUCUGAUUGUACAUGGAAGACAAGCAAGCAGUUGUCAUCUUCUGAGUCUGACAGCUCUUGUUCUAGCUCAACAAACAUUAGAGGAAAGUCAAAAAAACACAAACGUGGAUCGAAAAAAGCUCUUAAAAAAUCCCAUUCAAAAAAAGCAAAAGACAAAUCAAAAGGGAAAAAGGAGAAGAAACACAAAGUUCAGAAAAGAAAAGAAAUGUUUCAUUGGCAGCCCCCCCUGGAGUACGGUGAAGAAGAUGAUGAUGAGAUAAAUGAAAAGCCAGUUACCAAGGAUGAUAAAGAAAAGCAGCUUAACAGGAACUUAAAAGAUAAAAACCAAGUUUAUGACAAGGAUGAAAUAGUCAAAGAUAAAAUGAAAAAUUUAACUGAAAAGCCUUCUGUGGAUGAAAACCUUUUAACUAAAAACCCUACACGUGGUGCCUCUCCAGAUUGUAAUAACCUUAAUAAAGAUAGCAUUGAAAUGAAUGCUUCAGACAGUAUCUUAAAUGCAGAAAUAAAUGUGACCAGUUGCAAAGAUGAGAUGAAACAAGCUGAAGAAAGUAACCAGAAUGGAUUGCAAGAUGUUAUUGAGACAGAUGACAACAUGGAGAUUUGUACUCCAGAUCGUAACUCACCAGGGAAGGUUGAUGUAGAUGUUUUGUCUCCUGUCAUUCUCACUGCUAAACCUCAGGCUUUAGCUGCUAGUAUAAACAAAGAUUUACAGGUUAAGACCCAUGAACAAGAUGCUGUCAAACUAGGAAACAAUGUUAUAGACUUCAUGAAUAUUAAAGAAGAAAAAGAAAUGGGAAUACAAGAAAAUAAUUCUGCUCCUGUGUCUAGUGCUAAAGACUGUAGUUUAAAAAGUGAAACUACUGAAAAUACACAAAGCAAUACGAUAGAUAAUAAAUGGAAGCCUUUGCAAGGUGUUGCUAACUUACAACCAACCACAAUUAGUACUGCUGCAGAAGUUAAGAACAUAGCUUCAGCACCAGAGCCUAAACCAGCAGGUUUAAGAAUUGAAAUAAAAGCUAAAAAUAAAGUAAGGCCCGGAUCUCUGUUUGAUGAAGUUAGAAAAACAGCACGGCUAAAUCGAAGGCCAAGGAACCAAGAAAGUUCCAGUGAGGAAGAAUCUCCAAGUAGAGAUGAUAAUAGCCCAUCCAGGAGUCUCAGUAGGUCACGAAGUAAAUCUGAAUCUAAAUCCAGACGCAGAACAAGGUCCAUAUCUUACAGUCACUCAAGAAGUCACUCACGAAGUUCUACAUCUUCAUAUCGAUCAAGAAGCUACACAAGAAGCCGAAGCAGAGGAUGGUAUAGUAGAGAUCGGUCAAGAAGUCGAAGUAGUUCUUACCACAGUUACAAGAGCCGUAGUCGAACCUAUAGUAGAAGUAGAUCCAGAAGUAGUUCUUACGAUCAUCAUAGUCGAUCCAGUAGGUCAUACACAUAUGAUAGUUACUACAGCAGAAGUCGAAGUCGAAGUAAAAGGAGUGACAGCUAUCGAAGAUCCAGAAGUUAUGAUAGGCGAUCCAGAUCUUACGGCUCUGACAGUGAAAGCGAUCGCAGUUACUCUAACAAUCGGAGCCCCAGUGAAAGCAGCAGAUAUAGCUGAAACCGUUUCUUUUACGAUGGAAACUGCAUUUAAUAAUUUUUUUUUCAGUGUUAUGUUAAAACCGUUUUGACAGUGUCACAAGUAAAGUUGAAGGGUGUUUACUGAGUUAGUUGAAACUUUCCUAUUUAACGGUGAACUCGCCUGAGAGACUGUGUACUUAUGAAGUGCUAUUUCUCUAAUGUGUCAAGCUUGUUUUGAAGUUCCAGCCCAUCCUCCAAAGUACUCAAAGUCCCUCCUGGCUUGGUAUCAUUUGCAGCUAGAAGAAGCAGAUUUUCUAUUCAUGCAACUAAUUAUCAAAAAAAUAUCUUGAGCAGUACCAGGCCUGGGACAGAUCCCCAGAGACUUCUGGCUGUGUAUCUCUUCAGUUUCCCAGCACAUCAUAAGUAACAUUCCUGCCUUCCAGCACUGCUUUCCUCCUGCUUCAUGUUGUCUGUCCCUGCCAUCUUUCUUCUUCCAGCUGGGCCAGGGGUGUGGGGAUGUGAGCAGGGGCUGGCCUCUUAAGUUGAACUUCAGCUUGUCUGACGAGGUUCUGGAUGCUGGGUCUUACAAAACAUUGGCUGAAGGUGCCCAUUGCUUGUUUCCCAUAGUUGGCCUUGGAGCCGGUGUUUCUAAUCCCCCCUGUAACCUUACCUUUGAAAAACUGAGUGAUAGUGUAUGCUUUCUGGGCCUUCCACCCUAACAUAUCUUCUCCUAGCUUCCACCUCACCCACAUGACCCUCUCUGCUAAAUAUCUUUCUGCAUCCUCCCUGAAUCAAGAUACCAGCACAAGUAGCAGCAUUUUGUAUUUUUCAUAGAAUUGCAGACUGGUUCAGGUUGGAAGGGACCGUAAAGCUCACCCAGUUCCAACCCCCUGCCAUGGACAGGGACACCUUCUACUAGACCAGGUUGCUCCAAGCCCCAUCCAGCCUGGCCUUGAACACUGCCAGGGAUGGGGCAGCCACAGCUUCUCUGGGCAACCUGUGCCAGGGCCUUACCGCCUCCACAGGGAAGAACUUCUUCCUCAGAUCUCAUCUCAGUCUCCCCUCUGUCAGUUUAAAGCCAUUCCCCCUUGUCCUGUUCAUACCUGCCCUUGUCAAAAACCCCUCUCCAUCUUUCUUGUCAGGCCUUUUAGGCAUGGGAAGCUGCUCUAAGGUCUCCCCAGAGCCUUCUCUUCUCCAGGCUGAACAUCCCCAACUUUCUCAGCCUGUCAAGUGCUUUCUUUAGUACUAAUACAAAUUGAGAAUGUUUCUAUGUGAUCUUCACCGUGGAAAUUUUUUUGUUUGGGGGAUUAUUUUCCAUGUAGCUUAGGUAGUGGAAGAAAAUUGACUGUUCUUUCUCUGUAUGAGUAUUUACUGCAUAAGAUGGUUUUGUGUCUUUCAUGUUACCAGUUUAUACCCCUUUGUGAUGGAAAGGUUCCCCAUGAAUACCAGGGACCUAAUAGAGCAAAGGGGCUUUGAAAUUAUUCAGCUCACACAUAUGUGCUUCACAAGUCCACCAAGCACCAGUGUUUCAACAGUACUCUUAAAAAUAACCUCCCACCCAAAGUUAUCUAAGGAAAAAAAGUAAGCAUCUGGUUUGUUCCAAGAAAAUAGGUAAAGGGCAGGACUCAAGUGGUGGGUCUGAAAGGUGGGAAUUCAUUUUGAUGUGCUGUAUCCUUGAACAGAAACUCCUAGUUGGGCAAAGUUUCCAAAGACUCUCUUGAAUAUAAAUGCAUCUCUGGGUAUUUCCUGUAAUUCUUGAUAAUUAUUUCAAUCAAGAUAUCAAUUUAUAACUUCCUGACUAAUGAAAUGCUGUUUCUUACCGCGUUAUCCUUUCAUAUGUAAAGAUGUCUUUGAACUGCAAGCCCCGUGCUGGGAAGACCCAUGCAGCUUUCACACCUGGCACAUCAACAAGCAAGCCCAUCGCUGCACUGCAAACGUGACUUGGGGGUGGAACCAAAGCCCUUCUGGGCUGUCACAGAAAUUCAGUCGUUAUGUUUGCACAAGACAAUGCAGGAACCAUUUAAUGUAUGUUUUAGCUAUGGAUUGGAUGAGGACUGAAGUUUAUUGCUUCUUCUUGAUGAAGCUUAGAGGUGAUGAGCACUAAUCCAUGUGCAUCUUGCUGGAUUUGGGGGGAGUCUGGACUAGUAAACUGCCCCAUUUUUCUGUAAGUUUGUCAAACCUAAUGGUCUUUCAUAGCAGCAGCAGGAGAUAAUAUUUCAGGAGAACACGCAAGGCAAAAAUUCCUUCAGUUCAUUCCCUUUACUGAUGCUCUCCCAGUAUCAGUAAUCAUUACAUCAUGGAGCUGAUGGAGUGAGUCCAGAGGAAGCCACGAAUAUGCUCCCAGGACUGGAGCACCUCUGCUGCGGAGACAGGCUGAGAGAGCUGGGCUUGUUUAGCCUGGAGAAGAGAAGGCUCUGGGGAGACCUUAGAGCAGCUUCCAGUGCCUAAAGGGGCUGACAAGAAAGCUGGAGAGGGGCUUUUGACAAGGGCAGGUAUGAACAGGACAAGGGAGAAUGGCUUUAAACUGACAGAGGGGAGAUUGAGAUGAGAUCUGAGGAAGAAGUUCUUCCCUGUGAGGGUGGUGAGGCCCUGGCACAGGUUGCCCAGAGAAGCUGUGGCUGCCCCAUCCCUGGCAGUGUUCAAGGCCAGGCUGGAUGGGGCUUAGACCAACCUGGUCUAGUGGAAGGUGUCCCUGCCCAUGAUAGGGAGUUGGAACUGGAUGAGCUUUACGGUCCCUUCCAACCCAAACCAUUCUGUGAUUUUAUGAUUCUAAGAAUAGUUUUGCAUUUACUGUAUAUGUUGCCUUUAUGAUUUGCUGCUCCUUGCUUGUAAGCUCCCAACACCAUUCCCUUCUCCAAGUUGAAGGGUCCUGAGGCUGUCAUUCUACCUUGUAAAGCACCUGCCCAACCUCAUCAGCUAUAUUAGUAGUUGUUCUUUCUGCUUCCCCAACCCUAUCAUGCCCCUCUUUGACAUCAGGACUACACACAGCAGUUGAAACGUGGAUGCAUCGGGGUUUUCUGAGGCAGCAAAGUGAUGCCCUGAGCAUUGGAUUUGCUCAGGCAAGGCAGAGAAAUAACAAUUUCUUGGCUUUUUUUGGCUGCCACCUUGAAUGCACCUUGGCUGUGUGCUGAGCCAGCAAUUUCAGAGAGCUCCUGGUGGCAAUCCAAGAUCUCAGCUCUAGCUGCCAGUUCCAACCUCAGCAUAGUGCAAGCAUGCUUUCUCCUCCAGAUGCUUUACUUUCCGUAUUCCUACACCAAAGUUCAUUUGAAACUUCCUUCUUUGCUUUUCCUUUUCUUUUUAGAGCUUCUUUGAGUCUCUUGCUGUCAGUGUGGCACUUGAUGACCUUGGGAGAGCUCACUGCAAACACAGAGAUGUAGGCCUACUCUUACUCCUCCAGAUUGCUGAUAAAGAUGUCAAAAAGAACCCCAGGACUCAGUCUCUGGUAUACCUCGCCAUGGGUUCUUUUUCUACCCUGAAAAAUGACCAUUAAAGCCCUACCUUUUUCUUCUUCUCUUCUAACCAGCUUUUGAGCAAUGAAAGGACCUUUUCUCCA